rnacentral:tRNA from 1 species
AGCUCAGUUGGUUAGAGCGUCUGCCUGUCACGCAGAAAGUCGCGGGUUCGAGUCCCGUC